rnacentral:misc_RNA from 1 species
GAUGAAGAACGCAGCGAAAUGCGAUAAGUAAUGUGAAUUGCAGAAUUCAGUGAAUCAUCGAAUCUUUGAACGCACCUUGCGCUCUUUGGUAUUCCGAAGAGCAUGCCUGUUUGAGUGUCAUGAAAAUAUCAACCUUGACUUGGGUUUUGUGCUCUAGUCUCGGCUUGGAAUUGGGUGCUUGCCGCUUUUACGAGCGGCUCACCUUAAAUGUAUUAGCUGGAUCUGUCUUUGAGACUUGGUUUGACUUGGCGUAAUAAGUAUUUCGCUAAGGACAUUCUUCGGAGUGGCCUCGUUUCUAGGACGCUUGUCCGCUUUCCAAUACAAGUUCCACCUCGUGGACAUGACUUUUUAUUAUCUGGCCUCAAAUCAGGUAUGACUACCCGCUGAACUUAAGCAUAUCAAUAAGCGGAGGA